rnacentral:rRNA from 1 species
GCGUGAGUGAUGAAGGCCUUAGGGUUGUAAAGCUCUUUCACCGAUGAAGAUAAUGACGGUAGUCGGAGAAGAAGCCCCGGCUAACUUCGUGCCAGCAGCCGCGGUAAUACGAAGGGGGCUAGCGUUGUUCGGAUUUACUGGGCGUAAAGCGCACGUAGGCGGUUUGUUAAGUCAGGGGUGAAAUCCCGGAGCUCAACUCCGGAACUGCCUUUGAUACUGGCAAGCUAGAGUCCGGAAGAGGUAAGUGGAACUCCUAGUGUAGAGGUGGAAUUCGU